UACAGAGGGUGCAAGCGUUAUUCGGAUUUACUGGGCGUAAAGCGCGCGCGGGCUGUUUAGCAAGUCUGAUGUGAAAGCCUCCGUUUAAAGCGGAGAAGUGCAUCAGAUACUACUAGACUAGAGUGCAGGAGAGAGAAGCGGAAUUCCAGGUGUAGAGGUGAAAUUCGUAGAUAUCUGGAGGAACAACGGCGGCGAAGGCGGCUUCUUGGACUGUUACUGACGCUGAGGCGCGAAAGCGUGGGGAGCAAACAGG
rnacentral:rRNA from 1 species